CGUAUAUUAAAGUUGUUGCAGUUAAAAAGCUCGUAGUUGGAUUUGUGGCUGUCGUUGUCUUUUCCUCUCUUUGAGGGGNANUAGAUUAACGACGCCAUCCUUGGGUGGAAUCUGUGUGGCAUUAGGUUGUCGUGCAGGGGAUGCCCAUCGUUUACUGUGAAAAAAUUAGAGUGUUCAAAGCAGGCUUAUGCCGUUGAAUAUAUUAGCAUGGAAUAAUAAGAAAAGACCUUGGUACUAUUUGUUGGUUUGCGAACCAAGGUAAUGAUUAAUAGGGUCAGUUGGGGG
rnacentral:rRNA from 1 species